rnacentral:rRNA from 1 species
UACGUAGGGGGCUAGCGUUGUCCGGAAUCAUUGGGCGUAAAGAGCGUGUAGGCGGUCCGGUAAGUCCGUUGUGAAAGUCAGGGGCUCAACCCUUGAAUGCCGGCGGAUACUGUCGGGCUAGAGUCCGGAAGAGGCGAGUGGAAUUCCCGGUGUAGCGGUGAAAUGCGCAGAUAUCGGGAGGAACACCUAUGGCGAAGGCAGCUCGCUGGGACGAUACUGACGCUGAGACGCGAAAGCCAGGGGAGCGAACGGG